UAAUCGCAGAUCAGAAUGCUGCGGUGAAUACGUUCCCGGGUCUUGUACACACCGCCCGUCACACCAUGGGAGUCGGAAAUGCCCGAAGCCGGUGACCCAACCAAAAGGAGGGAGCCGUCGAAGGCAGGUCUGAUAACUGGGGUGAAGUCGUAACAAGGUAGC
rnacentral:rRNA from 1 species